GAGUUUGAUCAUGGCUCAGAUUGAACGCUGGCGGCAGGCCUAACACAUGCAAGUCGAACGGUAACAGGAAGCAGCUUGCUGCUCCGCUGACGAGUGGCGGACGGGUGAGUAAUGUCUGGGAAGCUGCCUGAUGGAGGGGGAUAACUACUGGAAACGGUAGCUAAUACCGCAUAAUGUCGCAAGACCAAAGAGGGGGACCUUCGGGCCUCUUGCCAUCGGAUGUGCCCAGAUGGGAUUAGCUUGUUGGUGGGGUAACGGCUCACCAAGGCGACGAUCCCUAGCUGGUCUGAGAGGAUGACCAGCCACACUGGAACUGAGACACGGUCCAGACUCCUACGGGAGGCAGCAGUGGGGAAUAUUGCACAAUGGGCGCAAGCCUGAUGCAGCCAUGCCGCGUGUAUGAAGAAGGCCUUCGGGUUGUAAAGUACUUUCAGCGGGGAGGAAGGGAGUAAAGUUAAUACCUUUGCUCAUUGACGUUACCCGCAGAAGAAGCACCGGCUAACUCCGUGCCAGCAGCCGCGGUAAUACGGAGGGUGCAAGCGUUAAUCGGAAUUACUGGGCGUAAAGCGCACGCAGGCGGUUUGUUAAGUCAGAUGUGAAAUCCCCGGGCUCAGCCUGGGAACUGCAUCUGAUACUGGCAAGCUUGAGUCUCGUAGAGGGGGGGUAGAAUUCCAGGUGUAGCGGUGAAAUGCGUAGGGAUCUGGAGGAAUACCGGUGGCGAAGGCGGCCCCCUGGACGAAGACUGACGCUCAGGUGCGAAAGCGUGGGGAGCAAACAGGAUUAGAUACCCUGGUAGUCCACGCCGUAAACGAUGUCGACUUGGAGGUUGUGCCCUUGAGGCGUGGCUUCCGGAGCUAACGCGUUAAGUCGACCGCCUGGGGAGCACGGCCGCAAGGUUAAAACUCAAAUGAAUUGACGGGGGCCCGCACAAGCGGUGGAGCAUGUGGUUUAAUUCGAUGCAACGCGAAGAACCUUACCUGGUCUUGACAUCCACGGAAGUUUUCAGAGAUGAGAAUGUGCCUUCGGGAACCGUGAGACAGGUGCUGCAUGGCUGUCGUCAGCUCGUGUUGUGAAAUGUUGGGUUAAGUCCCGCAACGAGCGCAACCCUUAUCCUUUGUUGCCAGCGGUCCGGCCGGGAACUCAAAGGAGACUGCCAGUGAUAAACUGGAGGAAGGUGGGGAUGACGUCAAGUCAUCAUGGCCCUUACGACCAGGGCUACACACGUGCUACAAUGGCGCAUACAAAGAGAAGCGACCUCGCGAGAGCAGGCGGACCUCAUAAAGUGCGUCGUAGUCCGGAUUGGAGUCUGCAACUCGACUCCAUGAAGUCGGAAUCGCUAGUAAUCGUGGAUCAGAAUGCCACGGUGAAUACGUUCCCGGGCCUUGUACACACCGCCCGUCACACCAUGGGAGUGGGUUGCAAAAGAAGUAGGUAGCUUAACCUUCGGGAGGGCGCUUACCACUUUGUGAUUCAUGACUGGGGUGAAGUCGGAACAAGGUA
rnacentral:rRNA from 1 species